rnacentral:rRNA from 1 species
UUUCGAAUCAUUCACAAUGGGCGAAAGCCUGAUGGUGCGACGCCGCGUGAGGGAUGAAGGCCUUCGGGUUGUAAACCUCUGUCACCGGGGAAGAAACGCUUCAAGUUAACAGCUUGAAGCCUGACUUAACCCGGAGAGGAAGCAGUGGCUAACUCUGUGCCAGCAGCCGCGGUAAUACAGAGACUGCAAGCGUUAUUCGGAUUCACUGGGCGUAAAGGGUGCGCAGGCGGUUGGAUGUGUCAGAUGUGAAAUCCCGAGGCUCAACCUCGGAACUGCGUCUGAAACUACUCGACUAGAGUAUUGGAGAGGGUAACGGAAUUCACGGUGUAGCAGUGAAAUGCGUAGAUAUCGUGAGGAACACCAGAGGCGAAGGCGGUUACCUGGACAAUUACUGACGCUCAGGCACGAAAGCAUGGGGAGCAAAAG